AUUUUAAAUGGCUGCAGUAUUUUGACUGUACAAAGGUAGCAUAAUAAUUUGUCUUUUAAUUGAAGGCUGGUAUGAAUGGUUGGAUGAGAAAUAUACUUUCUUUAUUUUAUAAGAAAAAUUUAACUUUUUAGUCAAAAGGCUAAGAUAUUAUUAUAGGACGAGAAGACCCUAUAGAACUUUAUUUUCUUUUUAUAUAAUCUUUUUGGUUUAUAACAAGAUUAUAUAUUUAUGUUAAUUAUGUUGGGGUGACAGAAAAAACAAUAUAACUUUUUCUAUUUUUUCCAUUUAUAAAUGUUACUUUUGAUCCUAUAUUAUAGAUAAUAAGAUUAAGUUACCUUAGGGAUAACAGCGUUAUUUUUUUAAAGAGUUCUUAUCGAUAAAAAAGUUUGCGACCUCGAUGUUGGAUUAAAAUAAGUGACAGGAGUAGAAUAUUGUUUACUAGGUCU
rnacentral:rRNA from 1 species